UGGGGAAUAUUGGACAAUGGGGGCAACCCUGAUCCAGCCAUGCCGCGUGAGUGAUGAAGGCCUUCGGGUUGUAAAGCUCUUUUGGCGGGGACGAUGAUGACGGUACCCGCAGAAUAAGCCCCGGCUAACUUCGUGCCAGCAGCCGCGGUAAGACGAAGGGGGCUAGCGUUGUUCGGAAUUACUGGGCGUAAAGCGAGUGUAGGCGGUUGCCGUAGUCAGGUGUGAAAGCCUUGAGCUCAACUCAAGAAAUGCACUUGAUACUGGGUGACUAGAGGACCGGAGAGGAUAGUGGAAUUCCCCAGUGUAGUGGUGAAAUACGUAGAGAUUGGGAAGAACACCAGUGGCGAAGGCGGCUAUCUGGACGGUUACUGACGCUAAGACUCGAAAGCGUGGGGAGCAAACAGGAUUAGAUACCCUGGUAGUCCACGCCGUAAACGAUGGGUGCUAGACGUUGGCGAGCUUGCUCGUCAGUGUCGCAGCUAACGCGUUAAGCACCCCGCCUGGGGAGUACGGCCGCAAGGUUGAAACUCAAAUG
rnacentral:rRNA from 1 species